rnacentral:rRNA from 2 species
AACGAACUCUGGUAUUGAUUGGUGCUUGCAUCAUGAUUUACAUUUGAGUGAGUGGCGAACUGGUGAGUAACACGUGGGAAACCUGCCCAGAAGCGGGGGAUAACACCUGGAAACAGAUGCUAAUACCGCAUAACAACUUGGACCGCAUGGUCCGAGUUUGAAAGAUGGCUUCGGCUAUCACUUUUGGAUGGUCCCGCGGCGUAUUAGCUAGAUGGUGGGGUAACGGCUCACCAUGGCAAUGAUACGUAGCCGACCUGAGAGGGUAAUCGGCCACAUUGGGACUGAGACACGGCCCAAACUCCUACGGGAGGCAGCAGUAGGGAAUCUUCCACAAUGGACGAAAGUCUGAUGGAGCAACGCCGCGUGAGUGAAGAAGGGUUUCGGCUCGUAAAACUCUGUUGUUAAAGAAGAACAUAUCUGAGAGUAACUGUUCAGGUAUUGACGGUAUUUAACCAGAAAGCCACGGCUAACUACGUGCCAGCAGCCGCGGUAAUACGUAGGUGGCAAGCGUUGUCCGGAUUUAUUGGGCGUAAAGCGAGCGCAGGCGGUUUUUUAAGUCUGAUGUGAAAGCCUUCGGCUCAACCGAAGAAGUGCAUCGGAAACUGGGAAACUUGAGUGCAGAAGAGGACAGUGGAACUCCAUGUGUAGCGGUGAAAUGCGUAGAUAUAUGGAAGAACACCAGUGGCGAAGGCGGCUGUCUGGUCUGUAACUGACGCUGAGGCUCGAAAGUAUGGGUAGCAAACAGGAUUAGAUACCCUGGUAGUCCAUACCGUAAACGAUGAAUGCUAAGUGUUGGAGGGUUUCCGCCCUUCAGUGCUGCAGCUAACGCAUUAAGCAUUCCGCCUGGGGAGUACGGCCGCAAGGCUGAAACUCAAAGGAAUUGACGGGGGCCCGCACAAGCGGUGGAGCAUGUGGUUUAAUUCGAAGCUACGCGAAGAACCUUACCAGGUCUUGACAUACUAUGCAAAUCUAAGAGAUUAGACGUUCCCUUCGGGGACAUGGAUACAGGUGGUGCAUGGUUGUCGUCAGCUCGUGUCGUGAGAUGUUGGGUUAAGUCCCGCAACGAGCGCAACCCUUAUUAUCAGUUGCCAGCAUUAAGUUGGGCACUCUGGUGAGACUGCCGGUGACAAACCGGAGGAAGGUGGGGAUGACGUCAAAUCAUCAUGCCCCUUAUGACCUGGGCUACACACGUGCUACAAUGGAUGGUACAACGAGUUGCGAACUCGCGAGAGUAAGCUAAUCUCUUAAAGCCAUUCUCAGUUCGGAUUGUAGGCUGCAACUCGCCUACAUGAAGUCGGAAU